rnacentral:rRNA from 1 species
UACAUAGGGGGCAAGCGUUGUCCGGAUUUAUUGGGCGUAAAGAGCGUGUAGGCGGCCAGGCAGGUCCGCUGUGAAAACUCGAGGCUCAACCUCGAGAGGUCGGUGGAAACCGUUUGGCUAGAGUCCGGAAGAGGAGAGUGGAAUUCCCGGUGUAGCGGUGAAAUGCGCAGAUAUCGGGAAGAACACCCGUGGCGAAGGCGGCUCUCUGGGACGGUACUGACGCUGAGACGCGAAAGCAUGGGGAGCGAACAGG